rnacentral:lncRNA from 1 species
CCGGUAUUCUGAAACUCCCUCAUCAACGCAACAGAGAGUUAGAAGCUUCGGCUGCUAUCAAAGUUCAAGCUGCAUUUCGCGGUUAUCUUGUGAGUUUCUUUGAGAUCCUUUAUUUGGAUGGUAAUUUCACUCAGCAGGUGUUGAAAAUGGAACAUUUAUGAGAACUAAUGAGAGGAGUACAAAAAUCAUCAAUGUCAUCAACAUUCAUAAAGCAUCACACCAAACUGAAACAGCCUAGUAAAAUAAAUCGAUGAAACUUAACUGAGAAAUUCAUUAUGCUUUGUAAGAGUAUAACUUGCUGUCAUCUUGGGGUUUCAGGCAAGGAAAGCACUAAGAGCACUGAAAGGAGUCGUCAAGCUUCAGGCUCUCAUUCGUGGUUGGGCUGUUCGACAGCAAGCUAUCAACACACUCAAGUGUCUACAGUCCAUAGUAAACAUUCAAUCAGAAGUUUUCUCAAAGAGGUGUGAAAGAGUUGAGUUGCAGUGUAAAGAUUACAAAUCACAUGAUUUCAGCGAAAAGGACAUAAAGGUUAAGUUGUGGAAUGUGGUUUCCUUAAUAUAUCUACAUUCAUGUAUUAGCUUCUAUUCUUUAUUACUAAUAGGAAAAGGGAUUGUGAUGACGAAAAGGACAUACGCAUAAUAAACUACAUCAACAAAACAAAGCUUAAGUAAAUCUCACCCCGAUUAGAUAGAAGGGGCAAGGAGUAGAUAGAAUGUCACCAGUCUCUUACAGUGUGCUAUCAUGCAGUUUGAGUUUCAUAAUCAAGGCAGAAAAAACAUGAUAAGGGACAAUAUAAACUAACAUGUUCUGAAUUUCUGUUUCUCUUUUAUUGUCCUGUUCAUGAAUUAUAUUGAAUGCCGGCUGUUUCUAUUAUCCAUUGGUGUCAUUAUCUGAUAAUCAGUAAUCUUCUACGAAACUACAGAUGGAUUUGAAUAGCCAAAAGAGGUGGGAUGACAGUACAUUGACCAAGGAAGAGUUAAAAGCUCUGCUUCUUACUAAAAGAGAGGCAUCUAUCAAGAGAGAAAGGGUCAGAGAAUACUACUUGAACCACCGGGUAAGUUUCUUUGAGUUCAAAAUUUUCAGCUAUCGUUUAAGUAAUAGCAUACAGUUUUUGAGUUGUCAUCAUAUGGAUAAAUAUUGCCAGAGAUCAGCAGAAACUGAACGUGACAAGGUAUAUGGGAGACGAAGAUAUUGGUUAGAACAAUGGGUAGAUUCCCAGCUAGCUAAAAGUGAGGGUCCAGGCAAUUUCGGUAGAACUUUGUCAGCUAAUUCAAGAAACAUAGAUGAAAUUGGGGGAAAACCGAGAAAUUUUCAAAAUCAAUUUCAAGCAGACAUGCCAGAGUCUCCUGCACAUGUCCCAAGAAAAUCUUAUCAUCAUAGGAAGCAGAGGUCCACAGGAGAUGAAAAUUUAUUUGUAGGUUCUCCUAUCGUUCCUGCAUACAUGGCCUCAACAGAGUCUGCCAAAGCAAAAGCUAGAUCAUCGAGUUCGCCAAGAUUACGACCACUUAGUUUUGAUGUAUGUUCUGAGAUCACCUCUCCUUAUAAGCAUAAGCUCUCUCCAAUAUCAUCCAUUAAUAGUGAGCUGACAAGCAGUAGUUGGAUUGGGAAUCAUAUGGGAUCCUCACAUCGAUCUCCACGCUUUAAAGGAUCACCUGGUCCAAUCAAAUCAACAAUGAGCUCGAAGGACAUUAAACUUUGGGGGCUUCACCACCAAACUGGUACUAAUGUUGCUCCCACAGAUUGUGCAUGUCCAAUGCGGAAAUAAAUUGUAGCAAGUAUCUGGGAUCGGGUUAUUUUACUAAAAAAUUUAUGUAAAUUAUUGUAUUUUAUGUCUUAUAACCAACAAAUGAAGGAGCUUGCCAGUGAUGACUCCAUUCUGCUACAAGAAUUGGAAAGGAGUGUAUCUCUCUGAUUUUCACUCUACCGAAGUUCAAUGAUCAACUAACACCACUUAUUUCUAAAAAGAGGUUUUCAUAACUAUCGUAAAAAGUGAACCUAUUUCUUCAGAAAGAAUAUGAUGUCCUAACACCAGAACGAACCGCAGUUCAAGUACCUAAAUUCCAAGACUAUAAAUUUAAAACACACACACAAAGAAAAUAUGCAUUUAAUUUAUGAGGCUGAUUGGCGGGCGAUCCCUCCAUCAUACAGGUCCAUAAAUCAAUUUGAUGGAUAAUCCAAGAACCGCUUGAUAUCUUAUUCCAAGAAGGCAAAAACUUCCAAAAUGUAAUUGAACAGUGUUUAAAAUUCAUAGUUUUCCAAUAAUUAUCACUUCCAAGGUGAAACACAUUGGGCAGCUUGAUGAACUACUAAUCCUCUAUCAAGAGUAUUAUUCUAAAAGAGACAACUAGGAAUCUAAUCAUAACUCAAAUCAUGAUGUUUGUUUGAGAUUUAAGAGGUCUGCAGUGUUGGACCUCUGUUUCCAAGUAAACAUAACAUAUUUCACGCUAUUCUCUAAUCAUCGUCAGUUAUUACAAGCACAGUGUCAAUCAUAAGCUUCCAUUAAGUAUUUCCUAAUUCUACUAUUUAGCUUCAUAGAGUUCAUCAUAUAUUUCAUCUACAUGACGCAGCAGGAAUAAAAAUCAGAGUUGGUAUGUUAUUCAGAGACGAUCAAACAAGACUGUAGACCAUAGAAGCCUUCUAGGCAGAGACUAAGACCAUCACAAUUCUCAUCGGACAAUCACUUAUAUUACUUUUCAAGUAGACUUUGUAAGUCUUAGAAACAGAUUCAGGUGUUUUCAAGUCAGCUUGUGAGUUGUGACUUAUUUGUUUCAAAACAUUAAAUAUAUCUGGGAUAAAAAAAUGCAUGUGGUUGCAAUAGAUUACCGACAAAACUAAAAUAGCAGAAAGACUACCUUAAGGCAUGAAGCAGGCAGCAUAUACAGUACUUGGUGAUUGUUGAAGCAGUAUAACCUGGGAUCAAAAUCAAUAAUCAGUGGGUAUCUGAUCAAAGAAGAGAAUUUGAAUAUCAAGUAUUUAAAAUGGAAAAAUUACACACAACUGCCAAAUUAGAUUAGCAACACAAUGACAGACUUUAUCGAAGAAAUCAAAGAUUCUUUCACUCUUUUAACUUGCACUACAAAAGGUAGUAAAGAUAUCACUUUUACAUUAGUAUUAAACUAAUUUGUACUACAAUCAUAGCAUUAAACUAAUCCUGCCUUGUUAGAAAUCUAUCUCAUUAUCAUCCUCUCCUAUCUCCACUUCCACUUUUGCAAACCCUAACUCAUAAGCCUUCAAAAUGGCAGCCCAAACUCUAAACAUUCACCCCCUCCACUCUUUCACUCAGGCCUUCAGAUCCAAGACCUUCAAGCCACAAACAAUUAGAUACAGAAAGACUACCACUUUUAUCAUCACUGCAACACUGCGAGCUGCAGUAAUAGGCGGCGGCCCAGCGGGGUCAUCUGCGGCGGAAGCUCUG